GAAGAUGGAAUCCACUGAGGAAGGAAGGCCUAGGUCUUCAGCACCGUGUGUGCCAGCCCAGAAGCAGCAGUGUGAAAGCCUCUGCAACAUCUCCUGUAGACCCCUAAAAAUCAGGGGGGGUUGGAUUUGGACAUCCUCAGUAGGAAUGGUUAAGCGCUGAUGGGAUCAUAAACAGAUGAUGCCAGAUAGUUGAUAAAUCCUAUAGCUCAACUUGAUUCCUAGAUACAAGCUGGAUUCAUUUGAUACCACAGAAAUGAAACUUCGGGAGACUAGAUUGGAGUCUCACUUCUUUCCCAGCCUGGAACUCUUGGGAGCUCAUGAAGGUAGAUGAUUCUUCAAAUUAAAGAUGGACACUGACUUUUCUCACCAGAAAUGGUUUAUAGAAUCAACUUUCAAAAAUGCAAGAGGCAGCAAAAAAAAUGAGUAAAAUAUUUUCUUCUAUUAUUCUUUGAUUGUUUGCUAAAUUGUAAACUCCAUGAAAGCAGGAUAACUUGCUUAUCUGUAACGCCUGGCCCAGAAUAGAUACUCAAAAAAUAUUUGAAGUUGGGCUUCCCUGGUGGCGCAGUGGUUGAGAAUCUGCCUGCCAAUGCAGGGGACAUGGGUUCGAGCCCUGGUCUGGGAAGAUCCCACAUGCCACGGAGUAACUAAGCCCAUGAGCCACAAUUACUGAGCCUGCGCGUCUGGAGCCUGUGCUCCUCAACAAGAGAGGCCGUGAUAGUGAGAGGCCCGCGCACCGUGAUGAAGAGUGGCCCCCGCUUGCCACAACUAGAGAAAGCCCUCGCACAGAAACGAAGACCCAACACAGCCAUAAAUAAAUAAAUAAAUAAAUAAAUGAAGCAUGACACAAAUUAAGCAAUGUGAAUACCAUCAAGCUUUCAUCAUCAUAAAAAAAAUAUUUUAAGUUAAUUAAAAUUUCUGUAGAAUUUUGUGUUUUUUUAAUCCCUGGAAAAUAACAACCAUUUUAAUGACAUUUCAGCAAGACAAUUACAUGGAAUAACUGGGACUUAAAUUUUGACUCUGAUGUAGAAACUAUCUGGAUACCAAUGAGUCUACUUAAUAUCUGAUUAUGAUGCUUGAUCCUUUAAGAGGCAAUGAAGAAUGGCUGCCAAAACAAACUGUGUAUGUGAGGAAUAGAUAUAUAAAAGCUUACUAAUAUUUAGUAGGAAAUCUUUUAUUAUGUACAUUUCAUUGGAAAUUUUUCAUUGAUUUAAAUUGCACAUACGACUCAGGUAUGAUUAAAAAGUUUUUUUUUUUUUGCUUUAUAUUUAAUGUUGAAAUAUUCUCAAUUGUUUCGGCUAAAUUAUACUUUACAGAUAUUUUUGCCCUAUAUUCUUUAUUUACAUCCAUGAGGGUAUAUUUAACAUGCAAGGGAUACAAAAUAUACAUCCAAAUAUUGGAAGUUUGGUAUACUUCACUGUGUUUUGGAAUGAAAUUUAAUAUUUGUGCUUAUGCCAGAAUCACACAAAUGGUAUGCAACUAUAAUAACUUCUGUUAGAAUAUGAAACCUAUUCUUUAGAUUCUUCUAUUAAAACAAAUAUAAGUAUCAAAUUAGUUUUAGAGUAGAUGAUGCUGACAGUCAGAUUCAAAGAUAAUAAGGGGGGAAGAUUAUUAUCUCUGAAGCUCUUAGAGAAACGUGGUGCAUAAAUACUCAUAAUAUAGCCAAUAUGUACUUAAAAUAUCUGAAUAAGAUCAAAAUCAAACUUCAUGGUAAAAAUACCAUUUUGAAAGGUAAAGUAACCUGCAGUUAAAUGGUAUAAGUGAUAUGUAAGCACAAAUUGUGCUUUCAGAGUUUAUCCAGACUUCUUAGGAAGAAUGGAUUAAAGAUCUAUAAAUGAAAAGCAAAACUUUAAACCUGUAGAAAAGCAAAGACUAUGACACUGGAGUACACAUAAAGCACAAAAAGGAAAGAUCGAUAAAUUUGUAUACAAUAAAAUUCAAACUUAUGUUUACACAUCAUGUAACUGACAAAGUCUCCAUUUAAAUGAAGAAAAUGAUCAAAGGAUAUGAAUGGACAAUACAGAGAUGAGGAUCCCUGAGUAGUAAUUCACAUGAAAAGAUGCUUUAUCUAACUAGUAAUAAAAGAUUUCCACAUUAAAACAACACUGAGAUACCAUUUCACUGCCAUCAGAUGGGCAAAAAUGAAAACAAAACAAAACAAAACAACCUCGACACUUAAACGUGUUGCCGAGGCUGGAGUAGUGGGCUCUCAUCUUUGCUGGUGGCAGUGAAAUUUAUGUUACUACUUUAGAGAAUGGUUUGGCAACAUCUAGUUUAUUGGAAGAUGCUUAUACUUGGUCUUUGAGUAUUAUAUUCUAUAAGAAUUCUUGACAUGUGUAUUCAAGGAGGCAUGUACAGAAAGUUCA